UAAUUCAAGUAGAAAUUGUCGUUUCUCACCUUGCAGCAUAGCUAGUUAGGUUAUCUUUGAAUAUUAGUCUAGUACUAUAUACGAGAGACGGCUUGUGUCGUCUCUUUUUAUUUUAA
rfam:Clostridium proteolyticum DSM 3090 genome assembly, contig: EJ39DRAFT_scaffold00016.16